rnacentral:rRNA from 1 species
UUUUAAUGAGAGUUUGAUCCUGGCUCAGGACGAACGCUGGCGGCGUGCCUAAUACAUGCAAGUAGAACGCUGAAAGAAGAGCUUGCUCUUCUGGAAGAGUUGCGAACGGGUGAGUAACGCGUAGG